CGGCCCCGCCCCCAGCCCCAACCCCGUCCGGGUCCUGCCAGCCUCCCGCUCUCUCCGGAACCCACAGUGCGGUGGUCCCCCUCGGACAGGCCUGCUCUUACUCCCGUGUCCACGUGGAGGUUCCAGGACGAGCCUGCUAGAUGAUGAGAUUUGAUCCCCUGACACUCUGGAUACAGCCUGCUAGCCACCCAACCACCCAGCCACAAGCUGACCGGUCAGUUGGGACGCUCUGGGGAAAACAGCCAAUCUGGUCCAGGCCAGAAGAAUCCCAGCUGGCCAAGAGAUCUGUGAACUAAAAAACAACUAUUACUUUAUGUCACUAAGUUUGGAUAUCUUAUAUUGGGGCAAAUAUACAUAACAUAAAAUUUACCAUUU